rnacentral:rRNA from 1 species
UACAGAGGUCUCAAGCGUUGUUCGGAUUCAUUGGGCGUAAAGGGGUGCGUAGGUGGCGCCGUAAGUCGGGGUGUGAAAAUUUUCGGAGCUUAACUCCGAAAACUGCAUUCGAUACUGCGGUGCUUGAGGACUGGAGAGGAGACUGGAAUUCAUGGUGUAGCAGUGAAAUGCGUAGAGAUCAUGAGGAAGACCAGUGGCGAAGGCGGGUCUCUGGACAGUUCCUGACACUGAGGCACGAAGGCCAGGGGAGCAAAACGGG